GUAUAAAGACCAAGUAGGAUGAAACUGCGGACGGCUCAUUAUAACAGUAAUAGUUUCUUUGGUUAGUAAAGUACAAGGAUAGCUUUGUGAAUGAUAAAGAUAAUACUUGAGACGAUCCAAUUUGUAUUAGUACAAAGUGGCCAAUUUAUGUAAGUAAAUUGAGAAAUGACAUUCUAAGUGAGUUAGGAUGCCACGACAAUUGUAGAACACACAGUGUUUAACAAGUAACCAAUGAGAAUUUCUGAUCUAUCAAUCAGUUGGUAGUAUCGAGGACUACCAAGAUUAUAACGGAUAACGAGGAAUUGGGGUUCGACAUCGGAGAGGGAGCUUUACCGAUGUCUACCACUUCUAA
rnacentral:rRNA from 1 species